CUCACAACUCGUCAAUCUGGAGAUCAAUCUAAUCAUUGAUCUGAAGACUAUUUUGAGCAUAAAAUCAUGGGAACCAAACAGUGUAUCAAAAUGUUCAUUUAAGAAAAUUCUGCAAACAUACACUUAAACAAGAGAAUAUGCAAUUGAAAUGGAAAUAGUCAUUAUAUAUUAAAACAUAAAUAACAAUCAGUCAUUGAAGUCAUUACAUAAGAAAUUAAAAUUUCCUUAAGACCGAUGAUACAAGCACAUGGAGACAUACUUUACGUUUUUCCUUAACCUACACCAUUCGUCUAGAAAACAAGUGAGGUCUCUUAAAAUUUGAAAAUCCUCAUUUUCGUUAAAUAACCUCUUAAAAUCUAAGAGUAGGAGUCAAAGUAGAACCUACUCCAAACAAAUACUGCCUAAUCCAACUUAAUUUUCCAAAAACAGUAAGUCAAAGUCGUAAUUCUAAACACUUGGAACCCUAAACACAAUCUUAAAGUCCAAAUUCCAAAUGUAAAUUACCAAUGUUUGUGAAGUACAAAAAAGGAUUGAAGAUUACCAUGUGAAAAUAGAUCCUUUAAACCAAAGCUUGCUCGAUAAUACAUCAUUUGUUGAUGAAUCCCGAUUUUAGAGAUGAAGGUGAGAGAAAUCUAAAAUUGGUGAUGGAGAUGAUGAAUGAGAUGAGUGGGUGAAGAUUAGGGUAGGAGAAAUUUGAGAGAACUUAUUGAUUGAAGGAUGAUUGUGGAGGUUAGAUUUCUUAAGAAUGAGAGAAAAGUUGAUAAAAAAUGAGUGAAAUGGGACAAAAAUAAGAGUUAGUUGCGUGUUUUAAAAUGACAACUAAAUAACUGUGCACUUGUUACUAAGUUCUACUGACGCGAUUCCAAUCAAGCUAUGCAAGUGAUUCAAAUUACACAGUUCGUGAUUCAAAUCUCCAUGUUGUCCUUUAAAAAACUUGAGACAAGUGGUUGAUAAGUGCUCAAUUACCAUAUAUUUGAUAUAUUGUUAAACCAC
rnacentral:lncRNA from 1 species